CCCUGUGGCUGGGGGUUUAGAAUACAGCCACGGUAACCCCUGCCUGUCGUAGGAGGCGACUAAAAGGGGACGUUGCUACUGCUGAAGUAGCUUCGAUGUCAGGCCUGGGGCAUAGGCAUAGCAACAUACGUUUGAGAAUACGCGCAGCCAUGAUGGCGCUUACGGACGAUCGAUUUAUCGAUCGGGAGUCGUCCAUCUAGGUGAACGCGAGAGCAGUGGUCUUCUCGCCGGCUCGCGCGCAACGACGCCAUUAUCGAGCAUCGAUUCAUCAAGCUCGGAAUCGUGUUCACUGGAUUGUUGAAUAUAGUUAGUUUAAGUGCAGUUCAGACGAAAAAUAUGGACCAUCGAACGGUCGGUGAAACGCUCAAGAUCCGCAGCAACAGUGCAAGCGACCGGAUCAAUUACAGGAUUAAUUCAUUGUACACGCGAGCCGCCAACCACGCGUCGAUCACCCACAUGUUCACGGCCACCAUCAAAAGCAGCGGGCUGAAUUUAUAUAAUUAACGGCGCUUAUUUGCUCUCUGCUAGCACUCUUGUAAAUUCUCUAUUCAAUUUGUAUAUACCUUUGUCGAAAUAAGAUGCCACAUUUAUUCAA